rnacentral:rRNA from 1 species
AACGAACGCUGGCGGCAGGCCUAACACAUGCAAGUCGAACGCCGUAGCAAUACGGAGUGGCAGACGGGUGAGUAACGCGUGGGAACAUACCCCUCGGUUCGGAAUAACUCAGGGAAACUUGAGCUAAUACCGGAUACGUCCGAGGUUUUGAUCGACCUUGGAGAAAGAUUUAUCGCCGAAGGAUUGGCCCGCGUCUGAUUAGCUUGUUGGUGAGGUAAUGGCUCACCAAGGGCGACGAUCAGUAGCUGGUCUGAGAGGAUGAUCAGCCACAUUGGGACUGAGACACGGCCCAAACUCCUACGGGAGGCAGCAGUGGGGAAUAUUGGACAGUGGCGAAAGCCUGAUCCAGCCAUGCCGCGUGAGUGAUGAAGGCCU